UACAGAGGGGGCAAGCGUUAUUCGGAAUUAUUGGGCGUAAAGGGCGCGUAGGCGGCUUUGCAAGUGGCGGGUGAAAUCCCUCGGCUUAACCGAGGAACUGCCUGCCAGACUGCAUGGCUUGAGACCGGGAGAGGUGAGUGGAAUUCCCAGUGUAGCGGUGAAAUGCGCAGAUAUCGGGAGGAACACCAAUUGCGAAGGCGGCUCACUGGGGGUUAUCUGACGCUGAGGAACGAAAGCCAGGGGAGCAAACGGG
rnacentral:rRNA from 1 species